UCGAGGUCCCCCCGGCCGCCGCCUUCCCACCAGGCCUUUGCAGCCCGCCCCGGAGGAGGCGCCUUCCUCCACGUGCUACAACGUCCCUCUAACAGGUGAACACACACCUGCGGUUCAGUCCAUCGCUCUUCACCGCGGGCGGAAGCCGAGGCUUUGAUGUUCUGCACACGCCGGCCCGGGCCACCCGCCUCAUCAUGAAGUGCAUCUUAGGAGGACUCCGCCUCUGGACGAGAGAGCGUAACAGUAGGGAAGGACUGAUGGAAUCAACAUCCUUAAAAAUACAUGGUGACUACUCAACUGGAGAAUCUUCAAGUCUGAUGUAAAAAGAGUAGAGUUUUUUGGGGAAAAAAUAAGCUAUUUUAUGCCAUGAAGCUAAUAAGGCUUUAUGAAGGAUCUCACGAGUGUCCUUGCAGGACGUGGCCUUCCCCGCGUCCUUAAGAAGCCCUCUCUGGGCUUAUCCCACAGUCGCCCCCACGUCCUGCCUCUUCCACCCUGUGCUUCAUGCUCCUUCUGCAGGCGUCCCCAUCCGGCACCUUACAACACGGGCCUCAGGGAGGCCCCAUCCCUCAUCUUCCCCACUAAAUGUGAGGGCUAAGUGGGGGGCCUUGCUUUCCUGAUCCCCAGGUCUCCACGGCCUCACCUGGUGCGUAGUAUUGGUCCUUCUUCAUGAAGAAGUAAACAAUACCCAUUACCAAGUGUAUCCAUAGUUCUAAAAGUUACCAUUAUUUUAAUGAUUUACAAAAACUGAUCACAAUAAAAUUCAUGUGUAUUUAGGAAGGCUAAAAGAAAAUUUAGGAUGGUUUAUCCCAUCCACUUGUUUUUCUGUUUGUUGGGGUUUUUAAUUGUUUUAAUUUUAUUUUU